rnacentral:rRNA from 1 species
CUACGGGAGGCAGCAGUGGGGAAUAUUGGACAAUGGGCGAAAGCCUGAUCCAGCCAUGCCGCGUGUGUGAAGAAGGUCUUCGGAUUGUAAAGCACUUUAAGUUGGGAGGAAGAGCAUUAACCUAAUACGUUAGUGUUUUGACGUUACCGACAGAAUAAGCACCGGCUAACUCUGUGCCAGCAGCCGCGGUAA